rnacentral:rRNA from 1 species
GUUGAACGCUGGCGGCAUGCCUUACACAUGCAAGUCGAACGGCAGCACGGGGUCAACCCUGGUGGCGAGUGGCGAACGGGUGAGUAAUGCAUCGGAACGUGUCCUCUUGUGGGGGAUAACCAGUCGUAAGAUUGGCUAAUACCGCAUGAGAUCGCAAGAUGAAAGCGGGGGACCGCAAGGCCUCGCGCGAGAGGAGCGGCCGAUGCCGGAUUAGCUAGUUGGUGGGGUAAAAGCCUACCAAGGCGACAAUCCGUAGCUGGUCUGAGAGGACGAGCAGCCACACUGGGACGGAGACACGGCCCAGACUCCUACGGGAGGCAGCAGUGGGGAAUUUUGGACAAUGGGCGCAAGCCUGAUCCAGCCAUGCCGCGUGUGUGAAGAAGGCCUUCGGGUUGUAAAGCACUUUCGGACGGAACGAAAUCGCGCGGGCGAACAUCCCGCGUGGAUGACGGUACCGUAAGAAGAAGCACCGGCUAACUACGUGCCAGCCGCCGCCGUAA